CUAAGACCACGUCACCCAGUCCAAGCUUUUCGGGCAUCAGAGGGUCACGGGAACCUUCUCCACUCAGGUUGAGCCUUAUGUGCUGGGCCGGACCGAGGAAGGACAGACCUAGACUAAGGAGGUGGCUUCUUCUGCUCCCUCUCCCCCCGGCCCCCCAAGGCAGAGAACUCCCUCCGCACCCCCACCGCCCCGACCACCACGACACAUCAAGCUGGGCUCCCUUCUGGAGGACAGACAGAGACGGCUUUAUGCUAAAAGGCCUAGGACCCAAGCUCCCCUUGGUACUCAGACCUCCCUCCAUUAAGGGAACCUAGUCCACCGGCUGAGCUCAGCAUCAAGGAAUCGGGGAGGGGGGGCUGCACUGCGCGACACUCACACUGGGUGCUGAAGGAUCCCGGGCUCGGGUUGAGGGCUCUGGUCAGACUGAGACUGUUCUAAAAUGAGGGUCCCACCCCCAGUUCCCUAGUGCCUGCCUCCCGCCCACAGAGCCCAGAUCUCCACGCCUGCUCAGGCACACAGCCUUCCCAGGACCAAAAAGGUCAUGUCAUAAUCCCAGAACAGUCUGCAAAGGGCUGGCUGGAAGCCAGAUGGGAAGCUCCAGGGGUCUCGAAGCAGAGCCAGAGCCAAGACAGAGCUUCACCAGAAAGAGAGUGUAUGCUCACUGUACGAAAGAGCUUGCUGGAGUUCCCGAUGUGGCACAGCAGGAUCGGCCAUGUCUUUCCUGUUCUCUCUGACAGCUCCCAGCCCUGGGUCUCAUCAAACUGGCUGCCCACAACUCAAGGCCCACAUCUAGGCACUGAUAAAUGGAGACGACGGAGAACUUCAAGUCAUAGGAACCAAAGAAGCGCACCCUCGCCCGUGCCACUCGGAUCCCACACCUAGUUGCACCCCUUUUCCUGGAGCAGAUGCUCUUUAUAGGCAGGCGGGCCGCCCAGCUGACUGGGGACCUUCAGAGCUCUCUGCGAGGCUGGUCCAAGGGCCCGCGUCCAGGCUCUGCCCCCCCCCUCCGCCCCGAGACCCUAGGCCACGUUCCUCUGCUGCCCUGCCUUCCAGUCUGAAAGUCCUCUUCCUCCUCCUGCUCCCCACCCUUCACACUCCCAGACCGUCCUCUUACUUCCUCUACCUGGACUUCGACGCGAACCCUGAGGAGGAGGAGGAGGAGGAUGGGAAUUAUCGGCCC